rnacentral:lncRNA from 1 species
AUGGAAAAGAUGGUCUCUGGUUUCCGGAGCUUGCUGGCACAGAACACAUAUGUUAUCCACAGUCAUACCCCAAUGUAGUAGCCUAUCCUUGGUUGGUAGCCUGUCAUGAAGUACCAACCAUAGAUUGAAGACAGCCUUGGGCCUAGCAUAGUUCUGAGCAGUUAGAUUCUUCCAUGGGACUCUCGGGAGUUGGCCAAUCUGAAAGAGAUAGA